GCCCCUAUAGCUCAGUGGUAGAGCACCGGCUUAGUAAGCGGAAGGUCGGUAGUUCAAUCCUGCCUGGGGGCA
rnacentral:tRNA from 1 species